CUAACGAUUCUAAUGGAUUCACAAGUUUCAAAAUGUUGUGAAGCAGCAGUUCUUAAUCCUGUUCCUUUCAUCUCCUGCUCUGCACAUCUCUCUAUCUCACUUGAUUCACUGAGGGGACAUUUCAGUUACACUGCUGUCUACGGAGGGCCAGAAAGCUCUCGGAUUUAAUCAAAAAUAUCUUAAUCUGUGUUCUGAAGAUGAACAAAGGUCUUACGGGUGAAACAACAUGACAGAAUUUUCAUUUCUGGGUGAACGAUCCCUUUAAGACAAGGCUGAGGAUUAUGGUGAAUAUGAAAAGAAUACAUAUGCAGAACUUAAUUUGAAAGUCUUGGUUUUACAUCCCUUCAUUUUAACAAAACAAUAUCGAUUCUCCUCAGAUAACCUCCUGAGCCUCCUCACACAAAAAAUAGUAAGCAUGGAGAGUGAGAUGAAAGCAAUGAGGAGCUCAGUAGCCGCCAUGUAUGAACUUUAUUCUCGUGCGCUGGGUGAUGGGACUGGUCAGCGAGCAGAGGAGAUUAGACUUGAUGUGUGUGACACCAUCGAUGAACUCCUCUCUCUAGAAGAGAAGCUAAAAGAAGACACAUUCAGGAAGAGAGUGACACAUCAUUUAAGCCUGUUGGAGGUCCAAACCCUGGGGAGAACACCCGGCGGGUAAUGCGGGCAGUGUCCUCCUACAACGUUUGGAAGAAAUUCAGCCUAAAGGGGAAAAAAGGGAAGAGGCCGCUCCAAAACAUGAUUGUUAUGAAAGUCAUAAAAAAGGCAGUAAUGAGAUCCAAUCCUGGACUCCAGCAAGACAAAGUGGAGGACAUAGUGGCAGACACACUUAAACAUGCUCCAGCAAGGUGUCAGAAUGUGAGCUUCUUUUCUAGUUCAAUCUUCAGGGUCCUAAAAUGUCAUUUUCAAGGUUUAAAAUGUGCUUAAAUUUUGAUUAUGUUAGGACCUGGUUUUGGUGCUAAAAUGCUUUGUGAAACACUUGCAGAGCAAAAAUUAGGAGUCCUAAAAUUGGGACUGACAUGCCCAUUGUUUUUACCAGUGCAUUUUAGUGUAAACGUCUAUUAUGUUAUUAGUAAUAUUUAUAUUUGCAUGUAUGUUUUGAAGCUACUUGUUAGUUAUUCUUAACAUGCAUUUGCUUUGAUUUAUUAAUUCAUA